AGUGUUUCAGAGUUUCGAAAAGACGAGAAGAGACGAAGUUUACGGUUAAAAAGAAAUAAUAACGACGACAACUUUUUUGGAAACGAACACGUGGCUGCACGAAAAAUAGCACAAGAAAUGCAAUUACAAAAAAUGUCAAAUGUGGUCCCCGUGUCAACUCUGGUCUCGAAUAUUUAUAGAAUCGCUCGAUAUUACACACUCCUGCAUGCUCCUGCCAUGCUGUUAAGCAGAUUUGAGACCUGAGCCAGCCAUCAUAACAACAAGAUAUGCCAGUUUUGCUUCUGCUGCUAUUAACCUGCUGUCAUCAGCAAAAAUCUCAGGAUCAUCGCUUGGAUAAUCAGCAUCCAGUUUCAUUGGGAAAACUCUGUCCUCGUGUAUGCCCAUGUGAGUGUGGGUGUAUUCACGAGGACGCUCUUUUUCCGUCAUUCAACUUUUCUGUGGAUGGAGCACCUGUGGAUGUCUGGCUGUGGAUUUCCCAGGCUUCAAGGUAGGAAACAUUUAUCUCUAUUCUUCCUUCCUUUUGACUAUUUGGUAGCGUUAAUUAUAAAUCGUGACAUUGUACGAAUUACGAUUUUUCCUAAGCUAUGCUGUUGACAGGAACUGUUUGUUCUAUUGCUUUGUUGACUCAGUUAGGGCUCAUUUUAAAUAACUCAUUUGUAGAACGACUGCAAAUCAGGCUUGUUUUGUACACCUCGCAACUUUGUCUUUGGCUAGAAAAUCAAAUUCGAAAAUGUUUAAACUUUAAACAUUUGAAGCAAAGUUUAACUAGAAAAUUGUAUGACCAAGAGGGUCCUGCCACCACAUUGGCACCUCCUCGUAUUAUUACGCAACUCGAGUCGCAAUGCGAGACAUUUCAUUUUUUUUUUUUGGGGGGGGGGGGUCGAUGAUUGCGACCGGCUUAAUCGCUAUUGCGCAGUGCGCGCGUGUGUUACACAUAAGCAAUUGUCUGUUUCUUCUUCUUUCUUACU